rnacentral:tmRNA from 1 species
GGGGGUGCACUGGCUUCGACGGGGGUUGCGAAAUCGCCUGGCGCAUGCCGAGGGGGUAGCUUUCCUCGUAAAUCCAGCUGCAAACACUUAGUUGCCAACGACGACAACUACGCUCUCGCCGCUUAAGGCGUAAGCCCCGAAACAGCUUGUGUCCGUGCUCGCUGCGUAGGGUCAUUAUCACGGAAUCGCCGGAGGGGGCCGCCUGCCCGCCGCCGGCUAAGAGUUCGCAGGCUGGUCUCCUGAUGCGCUUUGCGCGCCGUGCUGUCAGGGGACGAGAUCCAACGGCGAGCUAAGCAUGUAGUGCCGGGGAUGGAGUGCCUUCGGACGGCGGUUCGACUCCGCCCACCUCCACCA